rnacentral:lncRNA from 10 species
CCAAUGAACUUCAACUAUUUUAGCUCUCAUUUUUGCAUCUUCCCAGUGAACUGACAGACAAAGGCUGGGAGCUGGAACCUUCUGAAGGCUCAUUCACUUGCAUGUCUGUCAUGAAGCUUCAGGGCAGCUCCAGCUGAUGCCAGGUGAGCAAAGAUGAGCUAUUUUCUCUAUACCCUGCCAAAACUGCAGAUCGUGAGUGAAACAAAUGCUGUUUUAAGCCACUUCAUUUUUGGAGGGGUUUCUCAUGCAGUAAUAAGUAGUGAGAACGCCCCUAAUGACCUGAGCUCAGACCAGAAGUAUUAUUUAAUCCCUUUUCUGUAAAAAAGUAGAAAUUUAGGUUCUUGAUGUACUCUUUUAUGGCAGACAGAAAUGACAAGUCAGAGGGUUUUAAACUCUUUGUUUCCAGGCUACUGGGUGAAUAUAACACAGGAGAUAUUUCUUCAGAGCCUCUGGGAAGCUAGAGAAAGAAAGAAUAAUUGAAGUGGUCCAGAAGGAAGAGAAACAUGUGACAGGCUAUGCCUGGUACCUCCAGACCAGAGGAGAGAACUCGGGAAAGCAGCAGGCAGCCCAGAAUGGCGAUGGGAAGAUCCAGAGGCAGCAAAGGCUUCUCUCCGCCAUGUGAAAGGCCUGAGUUUAGAUACCUCAGGGAAGUUUUAAUGCCAACCUUCUGUAAAACCCCCAUUCUCUAACGUAUGGCUUUAAUUAACAAUCAUGUAUCACUAUUGGUUUGUUAAUCAUAGCAAAUGGACCAUACUCCUGUAAGAUGUUAUCAACAGGAAAAAUUGAGGGAGAGGUAUAUGAAGCUCUGCACUAUCCUUGCAAUUAUUCUGUAAAUCUAAAACUGAUGUAAAAAAAAAUAACGUUGGGGGAGGAGCAAAAAGAAAAAAGUUUCUUUUUAUUUAAAAAAACCCUUAUUCUCCACAGCCACAUCCAUAUUUCAGAAUUAUUCUUAGAAACUUCCAGAAACAAUUCAUUUGCUGUAUAUAACAUUAUGGCCUAGAUUAAACUGAGCAGUAAUUAUUAAUGCUUAAUGUUAGUGUGGAAGCUCCAAAAUUAUAUAUUAGAGUGUUUGUGUAACUCUAAAUCUUAAGAUACAUGUCAGUGAUACCCAAAGUUUAUUUAUUUUUUUAUUUUAUAGAGAAAACAUAAUUGACAAAAUGGUUACAUACUUUUUAAACUUUGUUUUCGACAUCUUUGGGAAUUGUAGCCAUUGAACCCCAUGUUCCUGAUUCAAGUUCCUCUGUGCAUCUCGUAAGAGUUGUUGAAUUGCAGUCAUAAUGCCUGGGAUUGAAGAAGAUGCUUCCAAGGGGCCAAUCUCACAAAUCAGCAGAUAGGCUGACCAGUCUUUUUCACUCUGUUCUCAGGCAUGUGAAAGCGUUGUCUGGUCCUAAACAUUAUGUUCUAGUUAUGCCCCACUUGUUGAGGGGUUGAGGGUGGCAUUGAUGCAGUCUCCAUGCUUUAACUAGGCUGUUAUUCCCUAUUACCUGCCUGCCCCAGCUUCCGACUACCACCCAGGUUAAGAGGAGCAUGUCUGAUGAAGAAACCACCUCCCUUAGUCAAGAUGAUUCAACUUCAUUCUACUUUCAUGCCCUUUCUCCAGGUGGAGAUCUGAGGGUCUGAGGAGGAGACAGAGAGAGAAACGGAUGCAAAAAGGCUCAAUUCUCAGGCUCCUGUCCCAACAACAUCAGUAUUAUUUUCAUAAAUUUAAUAAAUGUAUAGCUUUAUAUUAUAUAUAAAGUCAUAUAUAUAAGUACACACACACACACACACACAUAUAUAUGUAAAACAAUGUAGAAAGCCUGGCCAACAUGAGUUUCAUUAUUAUCCAGAAAGUCAGCAGGGGUUGGAUGAGCUCAUUCACAGAGACCCCUGGGUUUUAGGAGCAGGGAUUUUUAUCCCUCUGGACUGGGAGAGUUGGGAAGAAUGAAAGGAUCCAAGCUUUACCAAAUUCAGACUCACAUUUUAGUUCCCAGCCAAAGGUCAUAUUGAAGCACAGUGAGAAGCAAAGUUUCCCUGACAAAGGGGGUUGGACUUGGAGGUUGGUUCCCCUAUUUAGAGUCAGACAAUGGGAGGGCAGUUUAUUACUUUCACAGCAUGAUGACAGUGCAAUGCUUGGUAAAAAAACAAACAAACAAACAAACAAAAAAACCAGUUCUCAGGACAUUUAGAAUUUGUUCUUUCUCCCUGCCAUGUGCUUCUGGGAUGCUCCCAUAAAUCCCUUCUCUUAUCUGGAUACAGGGACAUAUUGACUAAUCCUGCUAGGGAUUGGGAUCUGGAAAAAGCAAUUUCUUCUUUGGUUUGUGCAUUUUAAAAAUGCCUGUGCAAGGACUAUGAAC